rnacentral:tRNA from 1 species
CCCGAUUUAGCUCAGUGGACAGAGCAACCAGCUUCUACCUGGUUUGCCGAAGGUUCGAAUCCUUCAAUCGGGA